rnacentral:rRNA from 1 species
UACGUAGGGUGCGAGCGUUAAUCGGAAUUACUGGGCGUAAAGCGUGCGUAGGCGGUCCGCAAAGUCUGAUGUGAAAGCCCCGGGCUCAACCUGGGAACUGCAUUGGAAACUAACGGGCUCGAGUGUGGCAGAGGGGGGUGGAAUUCCACGUGUAGCAGUGAAAUGCGUAGAGAUGUGGAGGAACACCAGUGGCGAAGGCGACUUCCUGGCCUGUUCUUGACGCUGAGGCGCGAAAGCUAGGGGAGCAAACGGG